AUACGUAGGGUGCGAGCGUUAAUCGGAAUUACUGGGCGUAAAGGGUGCGCAGGCGGUUUUAUAAGCCAGAUGUGAAAUCCCCGGGCUCAACCUGGGAACUGCAUUUGGGACUGUAAGACUAGAGUACGGCAGAGGGGGGUAGAAUUCCACGUGUAGCAGUGAAAUGCGUAGAUAUGUGGAGGAAUACCGAUGGCGAAGGCAGCCCCCUGGGUCGAUACUGACGCUCAGGCACGAAAGCGUGGGGAGCAAACAGAAUUAGAUACCCUAGUAGUCC
rnacentral:rRNA from 1 species